UGGGCGUCGCGGAACCCGGCGCAGGAAGCCCCCGGCAGGGUUUUCGAAGAGUCGGCACGAAGCGGAGCGGAGGGAGAGUCCGUCUACACUGGUGGGGCGCCGGGCGGCUCCGUCGGCCCGCCGUCUGCCUUGGACUUGGGUCGUGACCCCAGGGCCCUGGGCUCGAGCCCCGUCGGGCCCCCCGCUCGGCGGGGAGACUCUGCUUCCCCCUCCGCCUGCCCCUUCCCGGCUGGUGCCCUCGCUCGCUCGAGAGCUCGCUCGAGUGAGUGAAAUCUUUGAAAAGAGCGAGUCUGCGUUGGUUACGUGGUGAAAUGACAGUUGCUGAAGUUAUGUUUCGGUGUUUCGGUGUUUGCUUUUCUUAACUCGACGUAGCCAACGAAGAUGUGGGGUGACGUGCGUGACUGGCGCUGGAUUUCUCGUGGUCGCGGACCCGGACCGAGAAGCCAGGUCCUGGCCUUUCCCGACUGCAGGACAGUCCGCGGACGCACCUCCGCCAGUUCUCUCGUGAGACAAGAAUUGGGCUGCAUGUGUAGCUUGUGAGAUCCUGCUCAGUGGGGCCGAGGUCUUCUGCCUCUGCAAGUGUGUGUUGGAUGAAUGACAACCACGGGAACUCUCCAGGGACCCCCUUUUGUCACCAUAGAAACUCCAGGAAUCUUCUCUUUGGUGUGAUCUUAAUGGAUCCUUGGUGAUCCCCAGCUGACAUACCCUCACUAGAUCCUCAGGGCUCCUUCGUUGCAUAGCCUGAUGAGCUCUUCCGGGAUCCUGUCCUUACAUGACCUCAGGGAAUCUCCAGAGAUCUUCCAAUAAAGUUUCAGUGGAUCCGCAGGGACUCCCUCCUGACACAGCCUCAGGCAGUCUCCCGGGAUUCUCUCCUAGUGGAGCUCAGGAAGGCCCCAGGGACCUCUUCCCAAUAUACAGCCCCGAGGCCUCAGAAAUCCUCUCAGAGACUGGCUCCUAACAGCCUCCGGGGUCCCCUGUGGACAUCACUGGGGACCUCAGGGGUUCUGUGCAGCUCUUCUGGCUCAUUGCAAGAAUCAGCGAGGUGACAGCAGGACCGAAGAUGAUGGAAGUAGAGUUCACAGAGAAAAAAUGGACAGUAGUUAGUGACUGGCUGGAUGCAAUUAUAGCAUCUUAGAUCGGUUGUCCCUAUAGCUUGAGGAUGCUUUCCUGCCUCAGGUCUCCUGGGGGAAGGAGCAAGACUGACACCAAGAUUGAUGAAGGCUUCAGGACCCACUGAGCAAAGAGUUAGUAGUGCCAAUCAGAAACAGGAGAGCAAGGGGUCAGCCUGUUUGCAGCCUACGUUUAUGAUUGGUUUAGGAUGACUUGGGUCAAGGUCACGGAUGUAAGACCUCAGCCAAGCACGAGGUUAGAGGACAGAUUAGUCUCCAGACAAGGAGAUGGG